rnacentral:rRNA from 1 species
AGAGUUUGAUCCUGGCUCAGAACGAACGCUGGCGGCAGGCUUAACACAUGCAAGUCGAACGCACCGCAAGGUGAGUGGCAGACGGGUGAGUAACGCGUGGGAACGUGCCCUUCAGUUCGGGAUAACCCAGGGAAACUUGGGCUAAUACCGGAUACGUGCGAGAGCAGAAAGAUUUAUCGCUGAAGGAUCGGCCCGCGUCUGAUUAGCUAGUUGGUAGGGUAAUGGCCUACCAAGGCGACGAUCAGUAGCUGGUCUGAGAGGAUGAUCAGCCACAUUGGGACUGAGACACGGCCCAAACUCCUACGGGAGGCAGCAGUGGGGAAUAUUGGACAAUGGGCGCAAGCCUGAUCCAGCCAUGCCGCGUGAGUGAUGAAGGCCUUAGGGUUGUAAAGCUCUUUCGGCGGGGACGAUAAUGACGGUACCCGCAGAAGAAGCCCCGGCUAACUUCGUGCCAGCAGCCGCGGUAAUACGAAGGGGGCUAGCGUUGUUCGGAAUCACUGGGCGUAAAGGGCGCGUAGGCGGCCUGAUAAGUCGGGGGGUGAAAGCCUGUGGCUCAACCACAGAAUUGCCUUCGAUACUGUCGGGCUUGAGACCGGAAGAGGUCAGUGGAACUGCGAGUGUAGAGGUGAAAUUCGUAGAUAUUCGCAAGAACACCAGUGGCGAAGGCGGCUGACUGGUCCGGUUCUGACGCUGAGGCGCGAAAGCGUGGGGAGCAAACAGGAUUAGAUACCCUAGUAGUCC